rnacentral:rRNA from 1 species
CGGCAUGCCUCAUACAUGCAAGUCGAACGAAGUCUUCGGACUUAGUGGCGCACGGGUGAGUAACAUGUGGGAAUCUACCUAAAGGUUCGGAAUAACUGCGGGAAACUGUAGCUAAUACCGGAUGUGUCUGAAAAGAGAAAGAUUUAUCGCCUUUAGAUGAGCCCGCACUAGAUUAGCUAGUUGGUGAGGUAAUUGCUCCACCAAGGCUACGAUCUAUAGCUGAUUUGAGAGGAUGAUCAGCCACACUGGGACUGAGACACGGCCCAGACUCCUACGGGAGGCAGCAGUAGGGAAUAUUGGACAAUGGGGGCAACCCUGAUCCAGCAAUGCAGCGUGAGUGACGAAGGCCUUAGGGUUGUAAAACUCUUUCAUCGGUGAGGAUAAUGACAGUAGCCGAAGAAGAAGGACCGGC